UGCGUGGUGGGCAGGCACGUGGAGGAUGAGUAUGUGAGGGUAGGCAUGUGGAGGGUAGACACAUGCAUAGGCACGUGGUGAGUAGGUAUGUGGUAUCAGACGUGGAGGGUAGACGUGGCAUAUAGGCAGGUGGCAUGUGCUGUGCUGGAGAAGACAUGCCCCUGUUCUAACCCCUUAGUCAUUUGAGCCCAACUGGACAGAAACCAAGGGCCAACCACAGAGAAAGCCACCUGCUAGGGAAAGUUACUGUAAUCAUUUAUCAUCCUGGGAAAUUGAUCAGGGGACACUUUAUCCAUAUGUUAAGACAACUUAGAACAGAUUAAUUGGAGGGGAAAGAAAAGCAGGCGGAGACUCAGCAGCUCAGUGGACAUUUCUGGAGAAUAAUGCUGGAGACCAUGUGUCUGCUGAGCCAGGAGACGUCAUGAUCUCGCUCAGGGAGCAGGCAGAGGUCCCAGGUGGAGAGGCCUGGGUAUGGCCAGGAUUCCCCCACUCCCUGCCCAGCCUAGAGGUGAUGAUGGUUUCAGGUGAGCCACCCAAAAUCACUGAUAUUAUCCCAUACCUUCUUUGACUUACAAAAGUGGCAGUGUUACGUGGUUCAACCUAACAUUUAAUGAAGAAAUGGAGAGAGAGGAGCAGCUCCAAUGGAAAUGAAUGCUAAAUAUUUCAAAAUGCUUUGUGUUACCAGGAAUCUGGCCAGGAGGAAUACUGCUCCCAAAAUAGGGCUUCCUACCCUCAUCUCCUGCCCUCCCUGCUCCUUUUUCUACCUCCGUUCAACCCUGCCAACCUCUCUCGUGUCUCAUUGGAUCAUGGUGAAGGGCCGGGUCCUGGAGCCAGCAGUGGGGAUGGCGGCCUCUGGAUUCCUCGCCUCCUUGGCUAUCGGGGAGGCAGAUGUCCACAGCGGGCCUGCUCUGUGUGUCUUUCUGGGCUGUUCCUGGAGGGAGGAGCGACCAGCAUAUGCCAACCCCUCCAGCCCUUACAGAAGCUUGACCAUGGCUAAAUCCCCUGUAUUGGACUCUUCCUGCUCACAAGAACUGGUGAGGUUUCUGAUACUGAUCAGGUGUGUCUGAUCCUGACUGAUAAGCGAGAAUAGAAGGGUAAACGAAUUUUCCAUCUUCUUUCCCUAAGACAAGCUUCACCAGUCAUAGAUUUCUGAAGUGCCACAAUAACACAAGCAGAGUGAAAAGCUACCUUAAAAGUCUCCUGGGAACACAUCUAAAACUAGAACCACCAUGAGGAGUCUCACAGGCUAACGUUUUCAUCUAGAUGAGAAUGUAACUGCCAUUAACUUCAGUGAAAUCACAAAAAGAAGAAAAUGUCUACAUUCUCUACAGAACAGAUGUGGAAGAAUGCUGAAGGAUGCACAAAUGUACCUGGUGCAUUUUUGUAUGUAUAAAAUGCUGGUACAAAUAUGCAUUUUGUAAUUCAAACGUAUACCAAAAGGUCACCUCAUGAUUUCACAGAGACUCGUUGAAAUCACCUUAAUUAAGCAGCUGAAAUAAAAUGUGACAGUUUCCUAUAACCCAGGUAUUCACCAUUUCAGGAGUGUUUAUCGAAUGUACUUAUAGACACAAUAUUGCUUCAGAAGUGAGAAGCCCGCCUUUCCGUAGGGCUUUGCUAACAUAUAAGUGGCAGGAAUUACAUUGAAUAUUUACAUGAGUUUUCUCAUCUAAUCAUGUCAACAGCCCCACGGUGAGGAAAGUGGCACACAGAGAGGUUCAGUGACUUGCCCAAGGACACACAGUUUGCAAGGGGAAUAGCUGGGACUGGCUUGCCCAGUCCUUCCAAGGGUGCUGGGCGCCAUCUUUUCUAAUCUGCCUGCCUGUUGUGAGGUCCCCAGGCCUGCAGAUUUGGACUCUUUUACAUUUCCACCUCCUGAAUUUAUCUCUGGCUGGUGUUCUCUCAGGUUGGGAAUCUCACAGUCCAAAAUGCUUUUUGGACCAUUACUCCUUUAUUUUACUUGAAUUUUAGAAAUUAGCAGGGUAAAACAGAUUUAUUUUCUUAACCAUCGCCAGCGUUGCGGUCCCAACACACCGUGACACAGCUCAGAGCCACGCUGGGUCUUCAGGUGAACUCAGAGCUCCUUUCCCAUCCAUCAAGGUCCCAGUGAAACUGAACCGUGUCGCUGUCUGCCAUGGUGACUUUAGAAUCGGGGCCAGCAGCUGCCAAGUGUCCUGGUCGUGUUAGGGGAGCAUCUUCCUGGAAGACUGGAGUCCAGGGCCAUGGCCUGAGGGUGACAGGAGCAAAUGGCCUAAAUUUUCCUUUACACAUUCUGAAAUAGACAUGUACAUGGAACAGAAGUAGCAGACUCUAUGCAUUUUUGUUUUUUGAGACAGAGUUUUACUCUUGCUGCCCAGGCUGGAGUGCAAUGGCAUGAUCUCGGCUCACUGCAACCGCCACCUCCCAGGUUCAAGUUAUUCUCCUGCUUCAGCCUCCUGAGUAGCUGGAAUUAUAGGCAUGCACCACCACACCUGGCUAAUUUUGUAUUUUUAAUAGAGACGGGGUUUCUCCAUGUUGGACAGGCUGGUCUUGAACUCCCGAUCUCAGGUGAUCUGCCCGCCUCAGCCUCCCAAAAUGCUGGGAUUACAGGCAUGAGCCCUGUGCCUGGCUGACUCUACAUAUUUUUACAGCUUAGAUCACGUUCAGAAGAAAUGUGGUAGGGCUGCCAAACGGUAGGGAUUUUGAACCAUUAUCUGCUUCCUGCAUUUGACUGGCUGAAGGCCAGGCUUUGACCCAGUCUCAUGGACACUGCGUGCUAGGCCCUUCCACCCUCUGUGGUCACCCACCCCCAUUAGGAAAAACCCUGGCUCACUCUUUCUGAGCUCACUUACCUUUCGUCUGCAGGGUACCUGGGAUCUUUGCAGAGCAGGGCAUUUUCCUUGAGUGAAUAAUGAAGAAAUGCCCCUGACAGUAGGCCACAGUGAACCGGGCCACACCUGUGUCUCCCAUGAGGCCUGGAGCAUCUCCAGGUGAAUCGCGUCUCCCUGGAGCAUGGCAGCCUCCGGGAACACAGGAGCUCUUCGGUCAUUUCCCCCUCGUUUGCUUAGGUGGGUUUAUUGUUUUCCACCACUACUUCCUUAACUUAGAAUCGGACUUAUUUGGCAAUGGUUUGAGAAUAUCCUCCCACCGUCUCUCCUGCUUGGUGAUGAAUUCACGUUCCACCCUCCUCUAGCUGAGGCCAGCACUCCCUCCAGGCCCCUCACAGCACCCCAUCUCUGCCCACUGGUGAUGCUGGCCGUAGUGUUCGGCCACGAUUCUUCUGCUUUCCUCUAGUGUCCAGACAGCGAGCUCCAGCGUACUCCAGAGGUGUCUGCUGGAGUGAAUUGAAUGAUUUCAUUCAAGCCUCUAAACCACCCAGCAAGUAGGUGGAUCCCUGGCUAAGGUGGAGAAGCUGACUCAGCAAUGUUCAGUGCCCGCAUGUAAGCGUCAUGGCAUCGGGGAUGGAGCCGGGAUGUACACCUGCAGCCUCCCAAAUCUCAGGUGCCGGGCAGCUUUCUUAUUGUUCUUUGGCUCAUUUGACCACAUUGCACCUGUCUUUUGAGACUGGGCCAGGUGCUUUUAGGAGAACCUAUUCCAACACCAUUCUCACUGAUUUGAAGGAGUUUCCAGCACACCCUGAGGAUGUGGAUGGCAAUGGGCAAAUGGGCAGCCUGUUUUCAAGGCCAUCAUUGGAGCUGUCAAAAUGUCAGCCUCCUGUUCAUGGGAGAGGGGUCAUCCUCAGGCCUUGGACCAGGCUUCUCUCCUUCUGUGGUCCCCACAGCAUUGGGAGGGUGCCUGGUUACCAUGACAACCUCUUCCCACAUGGCAGUCCCAAGCCACAGUCCCACAGGGGUGCAUUCCAGUGACCAAGCCCACAGCAGCCUGUCUGCUCUCCAUAAAUAAGGGAGGCUGGGAAGUGUAGGACUUGAGAUUUUGUGUCAGAGGGCAAGAUGGGCACCAGGAGCAGCAGCACAAAUGGGCAGCACGUGUGGAUGAUGCGGAAUUGCCAGCGAGCGAUGACAGAUGCCCUCUCUGCUACAAGUCCUUCUUCCUCUCCCCUUUUGUCUUCAUCUAAACAAACAUGAGGAUUUUGGGGACUCUUCUUGCAAUCGGUGUUCAGAUGGUCUCUGCAGCACUGUCCCUGAACACUGGGCAGGACAGAGCAGGGAACAUCUUGGCUUCCCAGGUGCCGACGUGCAGGAAGCAGAUGCUGCAGCUCCAGGGCUCCAGGCUGCUGCGGGGAAGGUGGGAGGACCCAGGAAGAGCUCACAGAAAACCUCCCUGCUGGUUGUAGGCGGUGGUUCCAGAGAGGGGUGUGCUGGAAAAUCAGAAUGCGCCAUGGGAUGGAGAUUAGCUUCUGUACAUCGGGUCCGUUUUCAGCAGCCCCACAUUUCUGUGAGUUCAAGCCGCCGGCACAGAAUACAGAAGACUGUGUGGCUUAAAGAGCAGAAAUUCAUUUCUCACGGUUUCAGACCCCAAGAAGUCCAAGAUCAAGGUGCCAGCAAGGAGCCUCAAGAGCAAAGGCCGCCGGAGAGGCAGUUCCCUGAUGUGGGUUCCUCUGCCCAGGACUCAACCUGGUUGAGGUUGACUGAAAACAGAGCAAGAGAGGUCCUUGCCCACCUCGGGUCCUCUCUAUGCCCUCUUCCUGAUGGGAUCCAUGAAAGGGACUGGCUGCACACUUCUAUUUCCUAGGAUUUAAGAUCCUUUGUGUGAAAUAUUUAAAAAACCAGGUUGUGGUUUAUCCAUUAA